rnacentral:rRNA from 1 species
UACAGAGGUCUCAAGCGUUGUUCGGAUUCAUUGGGCGUAAAGGGUGCGUAGGUGGUGAUGCAAGUCUGGUGUGAAAUCUCGGAGCUCAGCUCCGAAAUUGCACCGGAUACUGCGUGACUCGAGGACUGUAGAGGAGAUCGGAAUUCACGGUGUAGCAGUGAAAUGCGUAGAUAUCGUAAGGAAGACCAGUGGCGAAGGCGAGUCUCUGGACAGUUACUGACGCUGAGGCACGAAGGCCAGGGGAGCAAACGGG